rnacentral:rRNA from 1 species
CCUACGGGAGGCAGCAGUGGGGAAUAUUGCACAAUGGGGGAAACCCUGAUGCAGCGACGCCGCGUGAGUGAAGACGUAUCUCGGUACGUAAAGCUCUAUCAGCAGGGAAUAAAAUGACGGUACCUGACUAAGAAGCCCCGGCUAACUUCGUGCCAGCAGCCGCGGUAAUACGUAGGGAGCAAGCGUUAUCCGGAUUUACUGGGUGUAAAGGGAGCGUAGACGGCAGCACAAGUCUGGAGUGAAAUCCCGGGGCUUAACCCCGGAACUGCUAUGGAAACUGUGCGGCUGGAGUGCAGGAGGGGUAAGCGGAAUGCGUAGUGUAGCGGUGAAAUGCGUAGAUAUUAGGAGGAACACCGGUGGCGAAGGCGGCUUACUGGACUGUAACUGACGUUGAGGCUCGAAAGCGUGGGGAGCAAACAGGAUUAGAUACCCUGGUAGUC